rnacentral:rRNA from 1 species
UACGGAGGAUGCAAGCGUUAUCCGGAAUGAUUGGGCGUAAAGCGUCCGCAGGUGGCUAUGUAAGUCUGCUGUUAAAGAGUGAGGCUCAACCUCAUAAGUGCAGUGGAAACUACAUGGCUAGAGUGCGUUCGGGGCAGAGGGAAUUCCUGGUGUAGCGGUGAAAUGCGUAGAUAUCAGGAAGAACACCGGUGGCGAAAGCGCUCUGCUAGGCCGCAACUGACACUGAGGGACGAAAGCGAGGGGAGCGAAUGGG